ACCUGUGUAGUGUAGUGGGUUAAGUGUUUGACUGUGACUCUGCAGACCAGGGUUCGAUUCCCAGCUCGGCCA